rnacentral:rRNA from 1 species
AACGAACGCUGGCGGCAGGCCUAACACAUGCAAGUCGAACGCCCCGCAAGGGGAGUGGCAGACGGGUGAGUAACACGUGGGAACGUACCCUUCGGUUCGGGAUAACUCAGGGAAACUUGAGCUAAUACCGGAUACGUCCGAGAGGAGAAAGAUUUAUCGCCGAGGGAUCGGCCCGCGUCUGAUUAGCUUGUUGGUGAGGUAACGGCUCACCAAGGCGACGAUCAGUAGCUGGUCUGAGAGGAUGAUCAGCCACAUUGGGACUGAGACACGGCCCAAACUCCUACGGGAGGCAGCAGUGGGGAAUAUUGGACAAUAGGGCGGCAAGCCUGAUCCAGCCAUGCCGCGUGAGUGAUGAAGGCCC